CUUUAGCCCUGAUGGGAGCGGUAUCCUUUGGUGGAGUUUUAACGGAGCAAAAGAUAAAACGGACAGCAGGAACAGGG
rnacentral:sRNA from 1 species